UCCCCUCUGGGGUAGAGCACUGGAAGGUUUGGACAGGGAGAAAUCUCGCUAAACCUAUCAAACUCCGAAUACAGAGGAUUAAAAACGCAGCAGUUAGACGGCGGGGGCUAAGCUCCGUACGUCAAAAAGGAAACAGCCUAGAUCUCUAUUUAAGGUCCCUAAAUUUACACUAAGUGCACUUAAGGAGGUGAUAUUUCUCUGACACUGAGGAGGUUGGCUUAGAAGCAGCCAUCCUUUAAAGAAAGCGUAACAGCUCACUCAGUAAGAGAUAUCGCACCGCAGAUUCAUGGGGCUAAGUGUAGUACCGAAACUGAGGGCUUUAUUCGUGUUCGCACGAGUGGAGCGGUAGGAGAGUUUUCGCAUCUGCAGUGAAGGCGAAGGGGUGACCCACGCUGGAGCGUUGCGAAGUAAGAAUGUUGGCACAAGUAACCACAAUGCGGGUGAGAAACCCGCACGCCGAAAGAACAAGGUUUCCCCCUCAACGUUUGUCGGAGGGGGGUUAGUCGGGCCUAAGCGAAUGGUGAGAACCGCACGCGAUGGACACACGGUUAAUAUUCCGUGACCGCGCGUGUAGUGAUGGAGGGACGGAGGACAUAAGUAAUGGCGUCUUAUUGGAUUGACGUCUGCGCUUUAAGACUUGCAAGGUAGGCAAAUCCGCCUUGCUGCAUUUAAUUGCAUCAGUCGCGAGCGUGGGGCACUUUAGGCUUCGGCCGAAGAGGACCAUUGCGAAGAGCCUUCCAAGAAAAACUUCUAAACUUAACUAGUGUGUCGACCGUACCGCAAACCGACACAGGUGAUCAGCUCGAGUAGAGUAAGGCGAACGAGUGAGUGUGCUCCAAGGAACUCGGCAAAAAAGCGGCCGUACCUUCGGAAUAAGGCCUGCCCUUUGUUAACUCAAGGGGCCGCAGCGAAAGUUUCCCUGGCAACUGUUUACCAAAAACACAGCUCCCUGCGAACUCGUAAGAGGAUGUAUAGGGGGUGACACUUGACCAAUGCCAGAAGGUCAACCACGGGCGUUGAAUUGAUAGCAAUAUUGAUUUGGUGGCCUGUGUAAGCCCUGGUGAAUGUCGGCGAUAACUAUAAUCGUCCUAAGGUAGCGAAAUUCCUUGUCUGGUAAGUUCAGACGUGCACGAAUGGCGUAAUGACUGGGGAACUGUCUCGGGAAAUAGCUCGGUGAAAAUACAAUACCGGUGAAGAUGCCGGUUACCUGCAGUUAGACGAAAAGACCCCAGAAGCUUUACUGCAACUUGAUAUUGAACGUACGAUUACGCUGCGUAGCAUAGGUGGGAGACUUUGAAGCAAUCCUUUUGGGGAUUGUGGAGUCGCCAGUGAAAUACCACUCUGCGUGAUUGUACUUUCUAACCUCGGCGGAAAAAACGACGAGAGACAGUAUCUGGUGGGCAGUUUUAGUGGGGCGCUAUCCUCCUAAAAAGUAACGGAGGAGUUUAUUAAGGUCAGCUAGGCGCGAAUGGAAACCGUGCCGAUAGUGUAAUGGCACAAGCUGGCUUGACUGCGAGACGUACUUGUCAAGCAGAUGCGAAAGCAGAGCAUAGUGAACCGACGGUACGCGUUAGAUGCGGCCGGAGAUUAUCGGAUAAAAGCUACCCCGGGGAUAACAGGCUAGUCUUGUCCAAGAGUUCACAUCGACGACAAGGCUCGGCACCUCGAUGUCGGCUCAUCGCAUCCUGGGGCUGGAUAAGGUCCCAAGGGUUGGGCUGUUCGCCCAUUAAAGCGGUACGUGAGCUGGGUUCAGACCGUCGUGAGACAGGUCGGUCUCUAUCCGCUGUGGGCGAAGGGGGUUUGAGGGGAGCUGGCUCUAGUACGAGAGGACCGAGCUGGACGGAGCGCUCGUGUGCCGGUUGUGCCGCCAGGUGCAGUGCCGGGUAGCGAUCUCUGGAGCGGAGAACCGCUGAAAGCAUCUAAGUGGGAAACCGACCCCAAGAUGAGACCCGCGUCUCGAAAGAGAGUAAGACCGCUCGAAGACGACGAGUUAGAUAGGCGGGACGUGGAAGGGCAGCAAUGCUUGGAGCGCACCCGUACUAAUGGUCGAGAGCUUAGGCAA
rnacentral:rRNA from 1 species